rnacentral:rRNA from 1 species
CGACGAGUUUGAUCAUGGCUCAGAUUGAACGCUGGCGGAAUGCUUUACACAUGCAAGUCGAACGGUAGAGGGGGCAACCCUUGAGAGUGGCGAACGGGUGAGUAAUAUAUCGGAACGUGCCCAGUCGUGGGGGAUAACGUAGCGAAAGUUACGCUAAUACCGCAUACGAUCUACGGAUGAAAGCGGGGGACUCGCAAGAGCCUCGCGCGAUUGGAGCGGCCGAUAUCAGAUUAGGUAGUUGGUGAGGUAAAGGCUCACCAAGCCGACGAUCUGUAGCUGGUCUGAGAGGACGACCAGCCACACUGGGACUGAGACACGGCCCAGACUCCUACGGGAGGCAGCAGUGGGGAAUUUUGGACAAUGGACGCAAGUCUGAUCCAGCCAUUCCGCGUGCAGGAUGAAGGCCCUCGGGUUGUAAACUGCUUUUGUACGGAACGAAAAGGUUUCUAUUAAUACUAGGAGCUCAUGACGGUACCGUAAGAAUAAGCACCGGCUAACUACGUG